rnacentral:piRNA from 1 species
UUUAAAAGGGAAUCUGUUGGUAACAAGGC